UAGGGAAUCUUCGGCAAUGGACGAAAGUCUGACCGAGCAACGCCGCGUGAGUGAAGAAGGUUUUCGGAUCGUAAAACUCUGUUGGUAGAGAAGAACGUUGGUGAGAGUGGAAAGCUCAUCAAGUGACGGUAACUACCCAGAAAGGGACGGCUAAUUACGUGCUAG
rnacentral:rRNA from 1 species